rnacentral:rRNA from 1 species
GAUGAACGCUGGCGGCGUGCCUAAUACAUGCAAGUCGAGCGAACAGACGAGGAGCUUGCUCCUCUGACGUUAGCGGCGGACGGGUGAGUAAAACGUGGAUAACCUACCUAUAAGACUGGGAUAACUUCGGGAAACCGGAGCUAAUACCGGAUAAUAUAUUGAACCGCAUGGUUCAAUAGUGAAAGACGGUUUUGCUGUCACUUAUAGAUGGAUCCGCGCCGCAUUAGCUAGUUGGUAAGGUAACGGCUUACCAAGGCAACGAUGGGUAGCCGACCUGAGAGGGUGAUCGGCCACACUGGAACUGAGACACGGUCCAGACUCCUACGGGAGGCAGCAGUAGGGAAUCUUCCGCAAUGGGCGAAAGCUUGACGGAGCAACGCCGCGUGAGUGAUGAAGGUCUUCGGAUCGUAAAACUCUGUUAUUAGGGAAGAACAAAUGUGUAAGUAACUAUGCACGUCUUGACGGUACCUAAUCAGAAAGCCACGGCUAACUACGUG